GGCAGUUAAGAACUGACCAUCAAAGGCUCCAUGUGACCAGAAGGGAACAGGUUCCAUUAAGUGCCUGUCACGUAAUAUACUGUGACAGUGCCAGGUGCCGGAGAAGAUGGGAACACAACAGCCCUUACACAUAGCUGUGUCGGGGAGACCACGGAGGAGGAAGACACUCUCAAGGGUGACAGUGGAUAGUAUCCAGAGAGGCUAUUUUGUCAACUUACUUUAGGGAGAAGCAGAUGCACCCUGAGCUUCUUAGGAACUACCAAAUGGCAUGCUGAGCACUACAAGAUGAACAUCCAACCUUGGGCUGUCAGCUCCUUCAGCUUGAAGAGAUGCCUCCAGCUGGAACCCGCAGUCAGAAUGACUCACAUGAACUAAGUCAGGCAGGAGCCAGAAAAGGGGUAAACAGCAGCUCAGAAAAAGCAGUCCAGAGGAAGAAGAUUCUGGGGCCAGACAAAAGAACUUAAUUAUUUAAAGUGUAGACUGAAACCCAUGCUGAGAGAAGAAAACCAUGCUUGGGAUCAAGGGCCUGGGGGGCACAAACUUUGGGA